rnacentral:tRNA from 1 species
GGGGCUGUAGCUCAGUGGGAGAGCAUCUCGUUCGCAACGAGGGGGUCGGGGGUUCAAAUCCCCCCAGCUCCACCA